UCCGUGUUAACCACGGCAGUCUCUUUAGAGAGCCCAACUUAAUGCUGGCAACUAAAGACGAGGGUUGCGCUCGUUGCGGGACUUAACCCAACAUGUCACCACACGAGCUGACGACAGCCAUGCAGCACCUGUCACUCUGCUGUAUUGCUACAGAAGUCGUAUCUCUACGAUUGUCAGAGGAUGUCAAAUCCAGGUAAGGUUCUUCGCGUUGCUUCGAAUUAAACCACAUGAUCCACCGCUUGUGCGGGCCCCCGUCAAUUCCUUUGAGUUUUAGUCUUGCGACCGUACUUCCCAGGCGGGGUACUUAUUGCGUUAGCGCCGGUUCGGCAGGGGUCAAGACCCACCAAACCUAGUACCCAUCGUUUACAGCGUGGACUAC
rnacentral:misc_RNA from 1 species